rnacentral:lncRNA from 1 species
AGGCCCCGCCCCGCAGGCCCCUGCGGCCUCCCUUCCGGGAAAGGGUCCCGGACGACCCCGCCCCUGCUCCCGGCGCCCAGGCGGGGCUCGGAGCUCCUGCAGGCCUUCUCUGGGCCAGACUCAGUCUUUGAGUCGCCUUGUGCAUAAAAUGGGAUGAACUGUGAGGCCUAAGUGCGAGUAUGUGACUGGUACCUUACCCGGGCCUGGUACACAGUAGGGGCCUCAGGGUGGGAGAAGCAGGUCCUAGGUUUUCCCAGCCCCAUGAAGGGGCAGCAGGAAGAGCAGAAGGAGAGCCCAGGGUCCCUUCUGGGGCUGACCAAGGAGAUCACCAUGGGCUUGACCUUCAGGGCACCAUAGUUCCUGCUAGAAUCUAGGCAGGGUGAACCGGACGAGCUGUAUCGUCGCUGAGAGAAUCAUGCAGCGUUUGGGCAAGAAGAGAGGUUGGGAAUCCUCCUUGUGGUACAUGUCGGUGACCCUGAAGCCCAGAAAGGGAAAGGGUUUUGUUGUCAGACACGCAGCAAGGCUGCAGAGGCUGGACUCCUACUGAGGUCUUCUUGACUCCCAGCCCAGGGAGUGAGAAGAAAAAGCCUCCCAAGGGGCUGGGAUAUGAGAGAAAAGCCCCCUCCUGGGGUGAGGCACUGGGGCUUUCUGCCUUGAAGAACCCUGGAACACGGGCCUGGGACUGCAGCAGGUGCAGGGGAGGCUCCUGAUUGUCCCUUCUUUCUGUCCACAUCAUGAUUCCCAGGCCUCUGCUUCACUCCCUCAUUGCUGAUUUCUUCUUCUCUUCCCAAUACAGUUGUAAGAUGCAUAAGGCAUUUAUUGAACUCUUGACCUCAGAUGAUCUGCCUGCCUCGGCCUCCCAGAGUGCUGGGAUUACAGGCCGGGUGAGCCACCGCACCCGGCCGCUUAAGGCAUUUAUUAAAGAACAUUUGGAGUUUCUUUUUUCUUUAUUGUGUAAAAUAUACAUAACAAAAUUUUACCAUUUUAACCAUUUUUAAGGAUACAAUUCAGUGGCAAAAGUACAUUCACAUCGUCGUGCAGCCAUCACCACCAUCCAUGCAACAGGACUUUUUCAUCUUCCCUAAAAGAAUGGAAUUUCUUAUUUUUAACUGUAAAGCUGAAUUGAAUAUUUUACAUGAUUUUUGGAAAAAAUUCUUCCCAAAUUAACUGCGAGGUUAACUGCUUGUGGCCUGUAUUUUUUUUUUUUUUUAAAGAAAGGGUCUUAUUCUGUUGUUCAGGCUGGAGUGCAGCAUUGCAGUCUCUACCUCCCUGGGAUCAUGUGAUCCUCCCAUCUCAGCCUCUCAAGUACCUGCUACUACAGGUGCACGCCACCAUACCCAGCCUGUACUUCGUUUCUGAGGAUCAAGACCUCACAGACCGUGUGUGUGUGUGUGUAUUUGUGUGUGUGUGAGUCCUAUUUGGGCCCCGCCUUUCAGCCCUGUCUUGCAGCCCAAACUCCAGCCACAGCUGUGGCCCCGUGCAGCUCAGAGGAAUCAGGUUGGCUCAGGGGCUUUUCCUGCUUUAAGGCAGAGGGUGAGAAGGCUGUAGCUGGGCCCGGCUAACAUCUCACCUGCUCCUGGGUCAAGAGGUGAUAUAGUUGGAGGUCAGACCAGGUUGAGCCAUUUCCUGGGCCAGGAGUAUCUUAUAGCAUGGCACAGAACACCAGGAGGCCUCACCUUCUUCCUGCUCAGAAAAGCCCACUCCUUGUCUCUGGCCCUGUGCCAGGCACUCAUCUGUCCUUUAUUUCAUGCCUGGCCCUCUAGGCAAUGUUGGAGUCCAAGAGGGUAGGGGAUGGAAGUGGCUGAGUCAGGAUUUGAACCCAGGGCAUGGUGUUUCUCAACAGGGUUGGCACCGGGAUUCUUGUUGAGAUGAUUUGUCACUGGGUAGGACUGUCCUAUGCAUUUUAGGUGUUUGCUAUCCCUGGCCCUGUCCCCUGAAUGCCCAGGUGUCCUGCAAUCAUUGUGCUAACCAGAAGCAUCCCAUGUAUUCCUAGUGGUCUCCUAGGGACCAGGAGGAAAGAGACCUGGUAAGUCCCCUUCACAUUCAUCUAUAAAAAGGGAUCGUCAUCCUUGUGGUUAGUUUAGCUGUCAUGGGACACAGCAGGACUCAGUAAAUGUACUUCUCUCUCUUCCAGAAAGGGGUACUUUGAGGCUGUACUGCCUUUCUUGGCAGGAGGCCUGAGGCCCCCCAGUCCUUGAGUCUCAGCUGUGAAGCAGGGUGCUCCCCAGUGUCUCGGCUGGGACCUUGAACAAAUCAUUGAACCCUCUACCGCCUCUGUGCUCUCCCCGGGCACUUUGAGGACUCAGCCGACUCUACAUUUUUAAGCUUGCAGUUGAAACGUUUGCAGCCAUCGGGAUACAAGUUGUUAUAGGGACCAGCUGUGAUGACAGAAGUGGGAACACUUUGCAGGACUGUGGCUGUUGCUCAGCAGCCUUGGAGUCAGGAGGAGAGAUGAAAAUCAGAAUUGAGGGUGCUUCUGGGUGAGGGACACACCCUAUACUCUUCGCAUACUCUGCACUGGAUCCUCACGGAACCACAAUCUGAGUGAAAGUGACACCACAUGACUUCUGAGACUUGGCCCUAAAAGGUGACACAGCUUCCAACUGGCUGACCUGGGACAGUCACUUUUGGAAUCCAGCCACCAUGUGGGAGGCAGCCUGGGUCACGUGGAGAGGCCACAAAUAAGUAUUUGCCAUCUGAGGUCCCUGCUAUAGCCAUAAGCAACCAUGUGAGAGUCGGAGUGAGAAGCACCCACACUGAGCCCAUUAACCACAGACUGCACAAGAGAAAUCAAAAUGAUUUUCUUUCUUUUUUUUUAAAGAGAGGAAUUUCUCUAUGUUGCUCAGGCUGAUCUUUAACUUCUGGG